rfam:Trichoplax adhaerens TRIADscaffold_4 genomic scaffold, whole genome shotgun sequence.
GGCUCAGUGGUCUAGUGGCAUGAUUCGCGCUUUGGGUGCGCGAGGUCACGGGUUCGAUUCCCGUCUGAGCCC